rnacentral:tRNA from 1 species
CAUUAAGAAGCUUUAAUGUAAGCAUAAGUCUCUUAAACUUUUUAUGAUAAAAAACACCUAUCCUUAAUGA